CCUGCUUACCUCUCGGAUAUUACUCCGCCAUUUAAUUAAGGCCUUGAUGAGCGACUCUCCUAUACUCCAGAGAAUGAAUGCAGCUAAACUUGAGGUGAGUUCACUGACUCACGUCUGCCAGUCCUUCACAAAAUGUUGCGCCCUCUAGUGGUCUGACAGGCUUGUGGCUGGAUGGAAACAAAAUGGCUUCUUUGCUGCUGCCAGUGAAAAUGAAACCUGGUGAGAACAGAUGUAGAGUUUGUGCUGCUCUCAUCCC